GAUGGAAAGUCUGGUUGACACUUGUCCCUUCUUUCCCAUUUUCCCAUUUUUCCCAUAUGGGUGACUGGUAAAUUUCUAGGGAAAUUAAAAAAACUGGUCAGUGCAGUUUGGGUACCUUUAUUCUAUCUAAUCCAUUUUUAAGAAUGGGUGAAGGUUAGAUGAUGUCUAAUAGGUAGAGGUUUAUUUUUCUCACAACGUGGGGACUCUGGAGUAUUGGCUAUUGGUCCAGUGGCUAAGGGGUGUUAUGGCUGUGGCUCUGGAAUUCUUGUGGCCUUUUCUUCAUAUUUGUUAACUUCACUGUCCCCUUCCAAGUGAGCAAACCAAAGCUUUCCCAGGCCUACCUCCACCCCCACCAUCUCUCCAGCAGGCACUUUCUACAAAGGUCUGGUCGGCCAGAACUGGAACAGUUGACAAGCACUAAAUGUAAUGGUGACUGGGAAAGUGUGGAACAAGGUUGUCAGAUUGGAUUUAAACAGAUCAUGAUCCAUUUCUUGGAACUAUACAGUGACCAGACAUUCUCAAGAGUCUGCAACGAAGGUGGUGGCAGUGAUUGCCAUUGGCCAGGCCAUUAGUAAUAUCUUCUAAAUCUGCAUCCAUAUUACACUCUUGUGUAUUUCAGGUACUUCCUUGACCCGUGACCUCUCUACUAGCAGGGUAUCUGGCAUUUCCAUGAGGACCACAGUCUCCUUUGCCAUAUUGUUCCUGGAACCUGAGAACUCAUUUAAUCAAGGCGUCGCUGUUGAUGCUGAGUUUGUAUGUUCCCAUGGACACUUGUCCAGAUGUGUGUUUCUGUGGGGAAAGCUUGAGCUCCACCCAUCCCCCGAACCCCCCCAUCACCACCACCAAGUGCUAAGCACUGCCUAAGAGCCUCUACGCUAUUUCUCCCAGGACCACAGCUCUUUAGUUUACUCACCACGGUUAGCCAUUUUUCCUCAUUGUUCCUAGUCACCCCACCAGACUGGCUGGACCCUGAAGGUUUUCCAGCAUUAGAAAUGCACUAUUCAGAAA